AGUGAACGCUGGCGGUAGGCCUAACACAUGCAAGUCGAACGGCAGCACAGUAAGAGCUUGCUCUUACGGGUGGCGAGUGGCGGACGGGUGAGGAAUACAUCGGAAUCUACUUUUUCGUGGGGGAUAACGUAGGGAAACUUACGCUAAUACCGCAUACGACCUACGGGUGAAAGCAGGGGAUAUUCGGACCUUGCGCGAUAGAAUGAGCCGAUGCCGGAUUAGCUAGUUGGCGGGGUAAAGGCACACCAAGGCGACGAUCCGUAGCUGGUCUGAGAGGAUGAUCAGCCACACUGGAACUGAGACACGGUCCAGACUCCUACGGGAGGCAGCAGUGGGGAAUAUUGGACAAUGGGCGCAAGCCUGAUCCAGCCAUACCGCGUGGGUGAAGAAGGCCUUCGGGUUGUAAAGCCCUUUUGUUGGGAAAGAAAAGCAGCAGGUUAAUCCCCCGCUGUUCUGACGGUACCCAAAGAAUAAGCACCGGCUAACUUCGUG
rnacentral:rRNA from 1 species